rnacentral:lncRNA from 1 species
CAUCCGCUAGCCCAAGACAAGCAUGCACGUUGCGCGGGAGCGGCCGCAUACAAGAAUUCGCGGUGAGAACGUCGUCGACCGCAUUACCGCCAACCCACAAAGGACUGCGAUCUCAAGGCCUUGCUCCUUCAGCUGUAGCGCGACGUGAGCCCUGCCAUUUCACUUUCAAGAUACGUAAGCUGCUUCGACCCUGAAAAUGCCGACGCAAUGGUGCAUCUGAACAGCCAAUGGAUACCAUGCCCACUCUGUAACGACCAGUGCUUUUAAUGAAACAGCACAGCAGAAUAGUCAACCACGUGAGGCACCUCAGACAGCAUAUGCAGUGGGUUGUGACGGAUUUAAUGAUUUCAUCAGCAUUUUCACUGGAUGCAAGGCUGUGAAUCUCUUGUAUGAUGCAUGUGUGGAAAAGAAACCCAACAUCCGGUGCACAUGCCUGCUUGAAACAGUCGGGCAUAUCCCAUUAGUUGAGUGCCCCCGUGUCGGCAUUUGCUGAUGUGAUCCCAGCUAUCUUCACCCAUUACAUUCUGCUGAAUUUACUGCAGCCACCCUUUGGAAAAAUAACACAUGGCAAUUAUUUCAAGGUAAUUAGUUCUCCCAUACAGAAAAAAUACCAUUAGCAGUACUCGUGGGUGAUAAUCUGCCAGUUUGCAAUGGUGGCGAGCAUAAAUACCACUAGCUGUAGUAACACCA